UGGCUGUAGUGAAUAAACACCUGCGUAGACUGUGAGCUUUGAUAAAGUGACUUGAGGCCGAGGGUCAUCUAUAUCCGCCUUAGAUAGCAGAGUUGCAUCAUUAUAGACCCACAGCACAGUUUUCCAUCACAACUCUGUCCCUCAGUGCUACUCCUUUUCUCCUACUAUCUGUCUUGUUGCUCCUCUUUAUAGGAGACGAGAAGAGAGGAGAAAAGGCACCAUCAGUCUUCUCCAGCAUCUGCUCUUGAUCACACGGCGCUGGCAGAAAUGGAGUCUGCGGACUCUGUUGAGUGUUUACGAAGUGGUCUCUAGAUUCACUGCCAAAAGGUUCACAGGGCUAUGCCAAUAAAUAUGACUGAGCAUUAAUGAAUGCUGUCCCAGUCAAACAACAGAGGAGGGGAGCUUCCAUGAGUGUCGCCCACUUCCAAUUUGCCACUGAAUAAGUUGUUGUAUUAACAAAGUAUGAUGAAUGCACAACUGUUUAAAUAUUCAUGUCCGACAUAAUAUGCUCUAUUACUCUAUCCCUCUGUGCUGGUACAUGCACAGCUCUGCUGUACCGAGCCAGGACUGAGAUGGAGAGUUCACAGAACUGCACAGAAAAAAAUGAACAUUUCUUUAUCCGUUGGGGAUGGUAAUAAUCUAAGAUUUACAUGUCUUGUCGUAUGUGUACUUUGCAGUUUAAUGCAGAAAUAAAUUUGCCUAAG